GUGCCAGCAGCCGCGGUAAUACGAAGGGUGCAAGCGUUGUUCGGAUUUAUUGGGCGUAAAGCGCGCGCAGGCGGAUUGGUAAGUCAGAUGUGAAAUCUCGGGGCCCAACCCCGAAACUGCGUCUGAAACUGUCGAUCUAGAAUAUCGGAGAGGGAAGGAGAAUUUCGCAUGUAGGGGUAAAAUCCGUAGAGAUGCGAAGGAAUACCAGAGGGGAAACCGCCUUCCUGGAAGAGUAUUGACGCUGAGGCGCGAAAGCGUGGGGAGCAAACAGGAUUAGAUACCCUGGUAGUCCACGCCGUAAACGAUGAGCACUAGAUGUUGCGGGAGUUUGACCCCCGCAGUAUCGCAGCUAACGCAUUAAGUGCUCCGCCUGGGGAGUACGGUCGCAAGACUAAAACUCAAAUAAAUUGACGG
rnacentral:rRNA from 1 species